CUCAAACUAGAUUUUAUUAGAGCCAAAGAAAAACCAACAGAAACAAAUAAUAGGCUAGAAACCCAUCAACCCCAACCCAGAAGCAAAACACAGAACAAAAAGGGAAAGUUCAAAACUAAAAACAACAAACUAACCCAGUCCGAAAUGAACUGGCCCCCAUUCAUGCUUUCAAAUAAUCUCAAAAACAUUGUUGUCGGUUACAGUUCCCCGAGGCAAAAACCCUAAAGCUAUCAUCACUCAAUAUCCCAUUCUCUGUCUUUUAGAUCCCAGCGACUCCAAAGCAUAUCUGGGCAAUGAAUCCUUCCAGGUAAACCUCCUCUCGUCUUUUUAAGCUCUCUGAUGCAAUUUUAUGUGCUAUUUUAUUUGUUAGUCUUUGGAUGUAUUUAAACUGGAUGCUUUGAAAACCACUUUUCUUGUACUGAAUAUCUAUGAUAUACGCACCUAUUUUCAAUUUUUCAAUGGUUGUGGACAAACAUUUCUUUAUGAUUGUCGAUGUAUCGCCUUCAAUCUCUAUCUUCUCUACUCCCAUGGCUAACCCUAACCUCAUUGCUUAAGCACAUGCACAAGCCUCCGCUACGAACGGAGAUGCAACCUCCAUGUUCAAAGUAGAUUUUAAGACCAAAACCUCACCUCUAUUGUUUCGAUCCACCAUCCCCGAAACCGAUCUAUACCGCCUGCAAUCAUAGGCCACUUCAAGGUUGAUUCUAACAGACUAGGUUUCUUGUGGACUCCAAUCGGGCACAAUCCACUGCCUGGUAAGGGUUCUUUCCCCCCCUUCGUCCAUUUCCUUAAUGAAUCCGUGAGUCAUUUCAGCGAUCCCCUUCCUAGUACUAAGCUUCCCUUCAUGCAAUUUCUUAUGUCGCUCUAUCCAAAUUACCCAUCAGGUACAACAGAAUAGUCAACAUAGAGAAGUAGAGCUCCUGUUAAAGACCUAAGUGAGCCAUUCCCAAUUUUCUAAAUUUGGCAUAGAUACAAUCCAUGUGAGGUUUAAUAUAGUCCAGGCUUCCAAUGACAGAGAGAAAACUUGGAACACAUGCAUAAUAUUCUCCACUCCCCAUUCGUACCUUGAACACACUGUAACUCCCCCCAGUCUUUGAAACUGUAAAUUAUUAAGGGUAGGCAGGAAAUUUCAUGAGAUUAUUGUAAUUUUUUGCUUAGCACUUAAGUUAAGGUUCCACAAUUGUUGGUAAAAAUUUUUAAUACCUUGCUGUAAAUCCAUAGCUUUAGGAUCAAAAUUUCAUUCUAGCAAUAUUUUGUAACCGCUUCUCACCGAGAAUCCACCAGAAUAUUCACUUUUCUACACCAAUAGGUCCUGUACACCACCGUGGCUAACGAAAUCUGGAGGAUUCUACCCACAUCAGCUUUAGUAAAGGUACAAUUGAUAACAUCUUCUUUCCAAGUUCAAGAUAAGUUAUCUAUUAAAUCUGAUACUCUUGUAAUACCACUAUUAAUACUGCCACUGAUUUUGUAGUUCGCAGUUCCUAAAACCCGCGCAUCCUCUGUCACUGAGAUUUUCUCCCUUUUACCCACUCUCCAGCACAACCCUUUCUGCAAGUCCUUUCGUUGCCGAUAUACUCUGCCAGGUAUAAGAAGGUAUGCUUCCUAAUAUUGAAUCUAAGAAGUCACACUGUGGGUGAUACGGGGUUGCGCGCGGACCAAGAUCGAGUUGCCAAGUCACGAGAAACUCCUACGAAAACCCUAAACAAUUAGAUCUGAAACGAAAACAGAAAAUUAAAAGAUUAGAUUUUUGAAUUUUCAGAUCUGAAAUAAAAUCCCCAAAACAGUAAAGAAUCAAAUAGAGAAUAGAAAUAAGUGUUAGGGUUCUUGAAACCCUCAAGGAGAUUGUGAUUCUGCCCAAUUGAACACCAAGAUAGUUUUUCCCAAAUUUCGACAAUCUAAUUUCACCCAAAAAGAGUAUGAAAAAACCCUAGAAAUUGGGGAUUUUUGGGCUGAUUCCUUAAGAUAGAAAAAGGCUGAAAACACAAUAAGAACAGAAAAUAGAUUAGAUAAUGAUUCAGCACAAGUAGAAAUAAAGAAAUAAAACGAAACAACAAGAAAUAAAGAAAGUCCUAAAGAUCCUUGAAAUCCCGAAAGAUUUCACAAAUCCCUUCAAACGGCUCUAAUCUCCCCUCCAAAGAAUAUCAAUGGCAAGAAGAAGGUUGAAGAUGGCUCCCACAAUCAAAAGAUUGUUAAAACAACUUCUAAAGAAAACUCAAGAGAGAAAUCUUGGAGAAAACUCAAAGAAAAUUCUGCUCUCAACAAAUCUGAAAUUUUAAUAAUAAUGAUAAGUGUUUAACAAGGUGGACAGCCAUGCCUUUAAAUAGGCCUUAUAACUAGUCCUAAUCUAAUUAGAAAAUUAAAAUAAAAAAAAACUCCUAAUUAUUUUAAUAUGGAAAUUCGGUCAAAGGUCAUUUUAUCUGGGACUCUUGGACUGAAUAUUGACAUAAAAAUUUAAAUUAAGUAAAUAAAUAAAUAAAUAAAAAUAAAAAUAAAACUUUACAACUUGGGCCACUUUGACAAUUUGGCCUGAUUUUCAACUAAGUAUGGAUGGAUUUCUUGAUUGGGCUGGGAAUUUGCUUAUUGGGCCUCGCCUUCAAGAAUUUGGGCUUUUGUGACUCGUAUCAGUGGGUGAUAUUUUUCUUUUAAAACAUGAGUUAAUAAUGAAUCUGCGUUUUGAAUUAGGCGCCAACCUUGUUUGGAUAACAAAGUAAGCUUAAAUUUGGUUAAACUACGGAAACCUAAUCCUCCAUUUUCCUCAAGGUCGCACAAUCUAUUCUAAUCACACCAAUGGAUGCCCUUUCGUCCAUGUUCCUUCUGCCACCAAAAUCGUGGCAUUAUACUCUCUAAUUCCCCAUAAAACAACUUUGGUAAUAAAAAACACAUCAUAGAAUACAUUGGGUAUGACUGCUUUUAUAAACACUUCAUUUCUCUAUUGAGACAAGAACCUCAUGCUCCAAUUAUCAUUUUUCUUCCUGAACUGAUCAUUUAGACCCUGAAACACCAUUUUCUUCCUCAUUCUAACUAAAUUUGGAAGCCCUAAAUACCUCUCAAUAUCAUUCGAAUGCUUAACCCCUAAGGUUCUCGAAACCACCACUCUAUCUCUCUCUGAAGUGUUUGAACUAAAGAAAAUAGUAGACUUUUCAUAGUUAAUACAUUGACCAGAACAUACCUCAUAUUCGCUUAGAACCCGCUUCAUUGUUUGGGCCCCCUUAUCAAUAGCUUCACAAAAUAAUACGCAGUUAUCUGCAAAAAGAAGAUGCGUGAUCUGCGGUCCCCUUCUAUUGACCUUGGCCCCUUUCAUUAAACCUUUAUUUAGAGCCAAUUUCAUCAAUGUUGAUAAGCCUUCACUACAUAUCAGAAAAAGGAACACACUCAAAGGGUCUCCUUGCGGAAACCCUCUACUCGGUAUAAAGACCUCACCAACCAUGUCGCUAACAAAUACCGAGUAUAAAACCGAUGUAAUACAUGUCAUGAUUAGAUUCACCCAAUCAUUAUCAAAGCCCAUCCUUUCCAUCAUCAUUCUAAGAAAACCCCAUUUGACCCUGUCAUAAGGUUUUCUCAUAUCAAGCUUUAGCGCCAUAAAACCCUUUUUCCUUGCUCUCUUCUGUCGAAAAGAAUGAAGAAUUUCAUAAGGCAACAACACAUUAUCAUAUAUCAACCUUUCAGGUACAAAGACCCUUUUACUGGGAAAUGUACCCAUAUUUUAAUAAACAUGUAACUGUUUUCUAUUUAUUUGAACGAUGAAUAAAAAAAUAAAGUUAAUUUCACAUUACACUAUUAUGUCUUUUUGUAUUUUUUACCUUUAAUAUUUUGCAUGCAUAGCGAAAUUGUGACAAGCAAAUAUUAGCUCAUUGAUUGUUUAAAGUUCAAACUGAAGAUAAGUGGCAUUGUAAAGGACAUUUAUAUUGCGAGAAAGACAACUUACUUUAGUAGAUAAUCUAAAUGAAUCCAUAAUCCCGUAAAAAAAUCAAAGUGAGUAUUUGAUUCAAAUACUGAGUAGGAUUAUUAUGUCGUCUACAAUUCCAAUUGGGUAGAUAACUAAUCUUGGCUAUCAGAACAGUUGACUCCAUGAGUAGAGACAUACAUGUAUUCAUUGGUAGAAUGAUACAUUGAACUGGACCCAAUAUGAAUUAAUUCUGAAUCCGUUUGUGAAUUAAUUCACUUGUGACGUUCAUAGUGUAACAACCCGAUUUAGACCCUAAUCAGAAUGGUGGUUUCGGGACCAUGAAUUCGAGUCAGAAAAAUAUUUAAAAAUGAUUUUAUGUGUUUAUUUUGUGUGAAUUUAUAUAUGUGAAAUUUUUGUAAUUUAAUUUUAUCGUUUAGGUAUCCGAUUAAAUAAAAUGACUUAAUCGCGUAAGAUGAAAAUUUGGUGGUUAGUAGAAUAAAGUACCGAAUUGCUAUUGGCUUUUAAAGUUGAAGUUUGUAGAUAGACCAUUUGAUUAGGUAAUGGCCGAUUGUACCCAUGAAUUAUGUGUUUAAGUUAUUUAAUUAUAAAGGUUAUAUUAGUAAUUAAUUAAAAUGUUAAUAUAUAUCAUAAUAAAACAUAAGUAAAAUACAUGUUAUAUUUUUUUUCACCACCGAAAUAACAAAUAGGAAAGAAAAAAAGAAAAGAACUAGGUUCGGCCAUCCUCUCAAGCUCGAUCAAGAUUCAUUUUUUUGUUCAGUUUUUGAUAAUUUUUACGUUUUUGAGAUCGUUACUUCGAGUACUACAAAACUUAUGCUUAAAUUUUUUAUUUUGGUGAAUAUUUUGAGUUAUGCCAUUAUUGAGAGCUUGUGAUUUUUGUUGUCUGAUGAUGAACUAUGAAAGAUAUGUUUUAGACUAACAUGUUUUGUAUUGUAGUUUUUGAUGAUUUUGAGUAAUUAGGGCUAAAUUGCUAAAAUAAUAAUUUGAGUGACUAAAAUAUAAAAUAAAUGAAAUAUAUGGAUUCGUAUGAGAGGGUAAAAUUCGGCCCAACAUCGAUAUCUUGAAAUUUUGUAUAUAUUGUGUUUUGUGCAAUAUGGACUAAAUUGUAAAAAUUAUAAAUGUCAGGGGUAAAAUGGUAAUUUUCUCAUUUAUGUGUUUUUGGAUUUAAAUUGAAUGAAAAUAUGUUUGAAUGAGCUUAAUUUGAAUAUUUUUAGAUCAAGAACUAAAGAAAUCAGAUUUAGAUCGGGGAAAAAUGAAAGUGGUCGACUAGUUGCCCUGUUCCAUUUUACAUCGUCCGAGGUAAGUUUAUAAGCAAAUAGACGUGUUUAGUGGUAGUUAAAUGUUAAUAUUACAUGCUGGUAUGAAAUGUGUGAAUAUAUAUAAGCUAUGGCCGAAUAUGACUAAGCUUGGGUAAUAUAUCUUCGGAUGGGUUUCGACCAAGUUACGACGUCCGAAAUCCUAGUAUGAACCUUAGGAAUAGUUAGGAUACAUAUGUCAUGACGUAAGAUUUCGAUAUAUGUGUACGAGUAAAAGUAUGGCAUCGAUAUGUGAUUCCGAUAUAUGUUUACGAGUAAGACCCUGUCUGGGACAGUGGCAUCGAUAUGUGACUACAUGUAAGACCACGUCUGGGACGUUGGCAUUGUACGACUUAUGUGUUUAUUUGAGUGUCCUACCCAAUUUCGAAUGGUUCAUCAGGCUACGAUAAGGUGUGAAUGUACAUGUUGAAUAAGCUAAAUGACCAGGUAUGAAAUAGGUUAAUAUCACUUGUGAUAAGGUAAGUAAGUACUUAAUGUUUGAUACAAAUGAUUUAUGAGGUAAAUGUAGAAUGUGUAUGUUCGAUCUUGAUAGAUAUAUUGUGAUUGCCUUCGAAAUGAUAUGUGAUAUGUGUAUAGAUGUAACCAUGUGUAUUCGGCCAUUUAGGUAAUGUGUACAUGAUGAUAUAUUAUGAUGCUUGAGUUGUGUUUAUGAGUAUAAGUAUAUUUGAUUAUCUAAUGAUAUAUUGGCCUUAUAUUGGCCUUGUAAGUGAAAUAUGAAUUACUUAUAUUGGUUAUUUGUGCAUUUAGCUAAGGUAGGAAUUUUGUAUAAAGACAAAAAUAUCAUUUAUGAAAUUGGCAGGUUGAGACUAAGCAUAAUUAUGCUAGUAUAAUUCGGUUUAGUUUAAAAUGAGUCGGAUAUAUUACUAGAUUGUUUACUUGCUUAUGGCUUACUAAGCUAUAAUAGCUUAUUGUGUGUGUAUUUGUUUCUGUUUUAUAGAUUUUAGAUUCAAGUUUCAAGCUCGGGGAUCGUCAGCAAAGUCUAUCACACUAUUGACCGCUUUUGGUAUUUAUAAAGUUGCAUUUUGGAACUAUGGCAUGUGUAGGCUGCAAUAUAUUUUUGGAAAUGUUGAAUUUGGUUAUGUAAUUAAAGCCAUGCUAAUAUAGCUUGCUAUUUUUGUUUGGAUUUAGUUUUAUGGGUGCUUAGUUAUAAGGUUUAGUAAGUUUGGUUUAGAAAUUUGGUUAUGCUUGAUAAUGGUUUAAAUUCGUUUAGUUAAAGUGAGUAGUACUAUGAAUGGAUGAUGUUUGUGGUAAGUAUUUCAUGAAUUGAAAAUGGCUUUAAUCUUAGGUUCGAAUUCGGUUUUAGUUGAGUCAUGGUUUAAGUGUAUUUGAUUAUUAUGCUGUAUAUCAUGGUUGAUCAUUUUUAUGUUAUUUUGGAAAUGUAUCUAAGUGUAUAAAGCUUGUGAAGUACUUGUGAAGUACUUUGUGUUCAGCUAUUUGUUUCCAUUGGGUGUUAAUUAAGCUAAGGUAGGUUAUGUGACAUUAGGUAAAAAUAAAAUCAAGACAUAUGCAUGGUUUAAAUUGAGUGGUCAUUGAUGGACUAUAUUAAUGAUGUGAAUGACACUUGAAUUGCGGUUUUAGUAAGUAAGACACAUUGGGAUUUAGAUUUAUAUAAGCAUUUGGGUUAAUGAUAAAGGACAUAUUUAGAUUUAUAUAAGCAUUUGGGUUAAUGAUAAAGGACAUAUGUGUACUUGGUAGACGGUCAUGUCAUGUUAGUUGAGUUUUAAAAUGUUUUACAUGUAUAAGUAUAUGUGCUUAUAAUAUGUUUGAUAUGUAUAUGUGCAUGGCAAUAUAAAUUCGUUAGAUAUUUAUAAGUUAUUAAAUAUGUAUAAAUGAAUUGAAUUAGCCAAGUAGACAUAGAAUUGAAAUGAGUUAUUUAUAACCGAAUGCUUGUUAUUAAAUUGUGUUAAAAUGCAAACAUAUGGAUCUCACAUAGAUUAAGGUAGUAUUAAGGUAGUAAUGCCGCAUAUAUGAAUGAAAGGGUUAGUAAUGAAACUUAGUUAAAUUGAUAUAUAUCUUGUGUAUAUGUAUGACUUAAUUAAGAAUAGAAAUAAAGGUUUAAUAUUCAAUAAUAACUUUAUUGAUAUGUUAUAUAUAUUCUGUAUAUGGAUUAAAUGAUUUUAAAUAUAUAUAUUGGAUUAUGUUUUAUUUAAGCUUUGAGGUGAAUGAUAAAACUUAUGAUUAUAUAUUGGAUUAAGUCAUAAGCAUUGAUGUGAUGUAAAUCUUGAAUUGUAUUGAACGAAUGUUUCGCAUUUGUAAUACGAUUGUUAAAUAUAGAUGAUUGUGACUUGAAUUAAUAUGAAAAUAUUCAGAACUUUGCUUUCGUUUAGUAAUGCCACGUAACUUUAUUCUGGUGACAGAUACGGGCUAAGGGUUUAGGGUUUAGGGUUUAGGGGUGUGAUUUACCUAAAUCCUGAGUUAGUUACUGACCAUUGCCAGUAUGUUGGGUUCAUGACUUGUAUAUAGCAUGGUUUUACUAGCAAUAGUGAAAUUCAUGGCUCAAUUAAAGAGUUAAUGAUAUCCUCUCAUUGGCAUUAUGUGAAUUAAUAAAUAUGAAAUGUGGCCAAUGGUUGCUAGUUCUUGAACGAGCAAUUUAUCACAAUUAUUUGUUGAUAGUGAUCAUAUUAAUCAUUAAGAAGACACAAUAGUGACAAUAAGAUAAAAAUAAGAUUGUAUUGAGUAAAUGAAUUUAACUCAAAGGAAUCAAGGAUAUCAUAUGAGGAUAAUA
rnacentral:lncRNA from 1 species